rnacentral:rRNA from 1 species
AGACGUCUACAUUAGAUACCCCCUGUAGUCCUAGCCGUAAACGAUACUCGCUAGGUGUCGGCCACGGUGCGACCGUUGUCGGUGCCGUAGGGAAGCCGUGAAGCGAGCCACCUGGGAAGUACGGCCGCAAGGCUGAAACUUAAAGGAAUUGGCGGGGGAGCACCACAACGGGUGGAGCUUGCGGUUUAAUUGGAUUCAACGCCGGAAAUCUUACCGGGACCGACAGCAACAUGAAGGCCAGGCUGAAGACUUUGCCGGAUUAGCUG